rnacentral:rRNA from 1 species
GAUGAACGCUAGCUACAGGCUUAACACAUGCAAGUCGAGGGGUAACAAGAGGAAAGCUUGCUUUUCUUGUUGACGACCGGCGCACGGGUGAGUAACGCGUAUCCAACCUGCCUAUAACUAGGGAAUAACCUUGCGAAAGUAAGACUAAUACCCUAUGAUUUCCUUUGAUGACAUCAGAUUAGGAAUAAAGAUUUAUCGGUUAUCGAUGGGGAUGCGUCUGAUCAGCUUGUUGGCGGGGUAACGGCCCACCAAGGCAACGAUCAGUAGGGGUUCUGAGAGGAAGGUCCCCCACAUUGGAACUGAGACACGGUCCAAACUCCUACGGGAGGCAGCAGUGAGGAAUAUUGGUCAAUGGGCGGAAGCCUGAACCAGCCAAGUAGCGUGCAGGAUGACGGCCCUAUGGGUUGUAAACUGCUUUUAUACAGGAAUAAAGUUAGCCACGUGUGGUUAUUUGUAGGUACUGUAUGAAUAAGGACCGGCUAAUUCCGUGCCAGCCGCCGCAGUAA